rnacentral:tRNA from 1 species
GCGAAAGUGGCGGAAUGGUAGACGCGCGAGACUUAGGAUCUCGUGGCUGCGUGCCGUGGGGGUUCGACUCCCCCCUUUCGCA